GACGAACGCUGGCGGCGUGCUUAACACAUGCAAGUCGAACGAUGAACCCGGAGCUUGCUCCGGUGGAUUAGUGGCGAACGGGUGAGUAACACGUGAGUAACCUGCCCUUGACUCUGGGAUAACUGCGGGAAACUGUAGCUAAUACCGGAUACGACCCUCGGCGGCAUCGCCAGGGGGUGGAAAGAAUUUCGGUCAAGGAUGGACUCGCGGCCUAUCAGCUAGUUGGUGAGGUAACGGCUCACCAAGGCGACGACGGGUAGCCGGCCUGAGAGGGUGACCGGCCACACUGGGACUGAGACACGGCCCAGACCCCUACGGGAGGCAGCAGUGGGGAAUAUUGCACAAUGGGCGCAAGCCUGAUGCAGCAACGCCGCGUGAGGGGUGACGGCCUUCGGGUUGUAAACCUCUUUUAGUAGGGAAGAAGCGAAAGUGACGGUACCUGCAGAAAAAGCACCGGCUAACUACGUGCCAGCAGCCGCAGUAA
rnacentral:rRNA from 1 species